GUGCAGUGAUGGAUUUUAUCAACGCAUCAUUCUGAAACUUUGUGUGGAAGAUUUCUGACUGAGCACA